AUUGAUAAAUCUUUUCCUCUUCCUGGUCCAUGAUAGAUCUGGUUUUCUUCUGGAUCCUUUCUUGUUGGGCUCCCUGAUGGGUCUCUCCAUGUUCUACCUGGUGAAAGGAUCUGUAAAAUAAGAAAGAAUGGUCAGGGGCCUACCGGGGGUGCCCCGGCAGAGGCCCUCCGACGCUCAAGUCAGAUUUUAUGGCUCAGAGUAGUAUAUUUAGGCAAGGGUUACAGAAAGAAUAAAAAUGGCGUCCAGGAAGGAAAAGGAAGAAGAAGAGAGCCCCCUCUGCGUGGCCUCUACCGUGAUAUAUAUAUCUGUCUCUCUGCCACAAUGCUAGCUGUCUUCUGUCGCCUAGCUCCGUAUGUACGGAUGUGUCAGGCGCCUACUCCAUGCGUAACGACCAUUAAUUCUCCUCUGAUACGUAUGAUUCUCCUCUGAUACGCAUGCGGAAGGACUUACCAGCGGGGCAUCUUGGUCAUUUUCCCCUUUCCGGGCUGGGUUGAAUUGUAGGGCUGAAGUUGAGCCUGGUGAGGGCCUGAUUACUGGGCCGAGAAGUUUGGGCCGGUUUGAUUGAGGAGUCUAGGCGGAGUCCGGCCCUGUGACUGAGCGGGCUGGACCUGGCUCUUGAGGGGAAUAUUGAAGCCUUCGGAUCAUGGACUGUUUUCAUUGGCCUGGCCUUUAUACCGGGGUGAAGAAAUCCAGCGAUCAUCAAUUGCCCCUUUAUCUCCUCAGCAGUUAUUCCAUGACUGGUGAGGGGAUAAAUCUUUAAACUCUAUUCAUGACCGUGUGGUCUGAGAACUGCUCCUGUCGAAAGUAUCCCUUUCUUGCCUUUUUAUUAUUUUUGCCUGAGC
rnacentral:lncRNA from 1 species